rnacentral:rRNA from 1 species
UGCUUGCACUCCUGAUGCUUAGCGGCGGACGGGUGAGUAAUACGUAGGUAACCUGCCCUUAAGACCGGGAUAACUCACGGAAACGUGGGCUAAUACCGGAUAGGCGAUUUCCUCGCAUGAGGGAAUCGGGAAAGGCGGAGCAAUCUGCCACUUAUGGAUGGACCUACGGCGCAUUAGCUAGUUGGUGGGGUAACGGCUCACCAAGGCGACGAUGCGUAGCCGACCUGAGAGGGUGAUCGGCCACACUGGGACUGAGACACGGCCCAGACUCCUACGGGAGGCAGCAGUAGGGAAUCUUCCGCAAUGGACGCAAGUCUGACGGAGCAACGCCGCGUGAGUGAUGAAGGUUUUCGGAUCGUAAAGCUCUGUUGCCAGGGAAGAACGCUAUGGAGAGUAACUGUUCCAUAGGUGACGGUACCUGAGAAGAAAGCCCCGGCUAACUACGUGCCAGCAGCCGCGGUAAUACGUAGGGGGCAAGCGUUGUCCGGAAUUAUUGGGCGUAAAGCGCGCGCAGGCGGUCAUGUAAGUCUGGUGUUUAAACCCGGGGCUCAACUCCGGGUCGCAUCGGAAACUGUGUGACUUGAGUG